rnacentral:lncRNA from 1 species
AGCUGAAGUGCAGGUGGGUGAUUGUGGUGCAGCUGAUGUGUGACCCAUGGACUGCAGGCCAGUCUCAGUUGGAUAGCUGGACACAACUGUUUCCCUGGAAAUGGACCCAUAGGAAUCAGAAACAAAGGACGCUGAUGCUGCUUUUCAUCUUCUGCCCAAGGAGAAUAAAUGUUUGUGCAAACCUUUUUUCAUGUGGCUGCCCAGAAAUGACCCAAGUGAAGCCAAGAAACUGCACAUUAAGCAACCACCCCCUGGCAAUGCUGCUGAAAUGAGAGGUCAGUGGAGAAAACUUUCUUCUGGAAGAGUUAAUGCUGUAAAUAGAU